CCUACGGGGGGCAGCAGUGAGGAAUAUUGGUCAAUGGGCGCAAGCCUGAACCAGCCAUGCCGCGUGCAGGACGACGGCCCUAUGGGUUGUAAACUGCUUUUGUACGGGAAGAAACACCGGUUCGUGAACCGGCUUGACGGUACCGUAAGAAUAAGGAUCGGCUAACUCCGUGCCAGCAGCCGCGGUAAUACGGAGGAUCCAAGCGUUAUCCGGAAUCAUUGGGUUUAAAGGGUCCGUAGGCGGCCCUGUAAGUCAGUGGUGAAAUCUCCCCGCUC
rnacentral:rRNA from 1 species